rnacentral:rRNA from 1 species
UACGGGGGGGGCAAGCGUUGUUCGGAAUUACUGGGCGUAAAGGGCUCGUAGGCGGCCAACUAAGUCAGACGUGAAAUCCCUCGGCCUAACCGGGGAACUGCAUCUGAUACUGGAUGGCUUGAGUUCGGGAGAGGGAUGCGGAAUUCCAGGUGUAGCGGUGAAAUACGUAGAUAUCUGGAGGAACACCGGUGGCGAAGGCGGCAUUCUGGACUGCAACUGACACUGAAAGACGAAAGCCAGGGGAGCAAACGGG